GAUCUCAAUGAACUUUAUCUAGUAUAAAGUGAGAUAUCCGAAUAUUGAUCAUUAUCAUCAGGUAGACAUUGGAAGAUUCGUUGAUAGGUAAACAAACUGGUCACGGGGUUCAUGACUGGGUGGAGCCUUCUUCUCUCCGAGGCAUCCAGGGGUAUCAAUAACCCCAGUGUUUCACCACAUAACCUUUUUUAAAAGCACUCUGAAAACAAACACACAGGAUGGACUGCCAGCACCAGGACUCACACUACAGUGCCAAGUCUCUGGACAGAGCAGGGAAGCUGGUAUUUUGAGGAUUUCAAGACCUGGAUUAGCUGUACCAUGAG